UACGUAGGGUGCGAGCGUUGUCCGGAAUUAUUGGGCGUAAAGAGCUCGUAGGCGGUUUGUCGCGUCGACUGUGAAAACCUACAGCUUAACUGUGGGCUUGCAGUCGAUACGGGCAGACUUGAGUUCGGUAGGGGAGACUGGAAUUCCUGGUGUAGCGGUGAAAUGCGCAGAUAUCGGGAGGAACACCGGUGGCGAAGGCGGGUCUCUGGGCCGAUACUGGACGCUGAGGAGCGAAAGCGUGGGGAGCGAACAGG
rnacentral:rRNA from 1 species